UUGUUUGUUUGUUUUACCUUUGAGUAAAAACAGUUAAGAAAAUCAUAACCUGACAAAAAUGAAUGAAAACCGGCGUUUGCUGAAGCUUGAAAAAAACUCAUAAUUCACACAUGCAUUUUUGUAAACUCAAACAUGAUGGCGAAGCCGCUUAGUACCGUCGUCACUGGCAGUUUUGUGGAAAAUGAUCAGGACCAAAGACUCUAUAACGGAUACAUUACAUUAAUAAUUUCAUUAGGAACAUUUCCUAUCUUAAAUUUCUGCCCAGACCUACUGAACAAUUAUAUUCUGUGUGGAGAAGACGAGGAGGUGGAGGUUUGCUGAUAAGGAUGAUGUGAUCUAAGAUACCUGGGCUUCUGCUGGAACUGCAGGGUGAUGGCAGGAAGGAUUAGAUGACCAGGUGUGUGAAAGUGUGUAUAACUGUGUAUGCAAGUGUGUUGCUGGAUUAAGAUCACUGUGCUUCCCUUCAGCUUGGACCAUGUCACUCAUCCGAUUUCAUCUUCAUCUGAGCCUGCAUCUGAGCGAUCAUCUCCUGCAUGCGUCUCAACUACAAAGAAGAAGAACAAAGCGAGAAUACAAGAGUUCAUAAGAGGUUUCAGGUUUUGGGCAGCAAAAAGUCAACUUAUACA